CUCUAAAGAGACUGCCGGUGACAAACCGGAGGAAGGUGGGGAUGACGUCAAGUCCAUCAUCGCCCUUAUCGAGCCUGGCUACACACGUGCUACAAUGGGCAGUACAACGAGAAGCGAACCCGCGAGGGUAAGCGGAUCUCUUAAAGCUGUUCUCAGUUCGGACUGCAGGCUGCAACUCGCCUGCACGAAGCUGGAAUCGCUAGUAAUCGCGGAUCAGCACGCCGCGGUGAAUACGUUCCCGGGCCUUGUACACACCGCCCGUCACACCAUGGAAGUCUGCAAUGCCCAAAGUCGGUGGGAUAACCUUUAUAGGAGUCAGCCGCCUAAGGCAGGGCAGAUGACUGGGGUGAAGUCGUAACAAGGUAGCCGUAGGAGAACCUGCGGCUGGAUCACCUCCUUUCUAAGGAA
rnacentral:rRNA from 1 species